GUCACAGAGGUGAGACUAAGAAAUUACACGAAGAGCACGUGCUAAUACAAAUAUUUUACAAAAUAGAGUCUCAAAUAACUAUAUUAGAAAUAUACUUAAUAACAUUGUUUAUCCUCCAGCUCGUUUUUUCUGGUCUUCUAUGUUUGGUGAUGUGAAUUGAUUAUAUAGAUAGAUAAAUAAAUAAAAACGGAGAGCACGCGCUUCGCAUGUCGCGGGUGUUUCAAAGCGGAUAAAAGGCAAAUAUGACGAUCAUCCUUGUUUAAUAUGCAUAAAUAAUGUUGUAUGAUGUUAUAACUCUUGUGUAAAACUUAUUUGGGUUAUUUUAGUGCGAUGAUUGGUUAUAUUGAAGUGGAUGGUAGUCGAUUGUGGACCCAGUAGCAUCCGAUGGGAUGAUUUAAUCACCCGCUUCGAAUGUUAUCACACUAUUGAAUGGAUGUUAUCAGUGGUUAAUGGGCCCAUCGAUAUGGUCCAGUAGGGGCAUGCUGUGGCUACUGGAAGGCUCAGAAGGUUGUUGUCACUGUUGAAAUCCCCCGGAUUUGCUUUAUAAGAAUGGGAGCAGGCCAAAGUCCAGCAGAUGCCUGUGAAACACAAGAAGCUCCAUAACGAACGUUACAGCAAGAACCCUAAGAAAAACUAUUGCUGAGGAACCUUGACUGCAAUGUGGAUGACAGACGGCUGCACGAAGAACUCCACCCUUUUGGAACUUUGGAACUGUCAUCAAUGCAGAGAUCAAUAUACUUUAGAGAAUGGCUGCCCCAAAGGCACUGGCUUUGUCACUUUUGCAUCUGCUGAUGAAGCCAGAAAUGCCAUCAUGAAGAUGAAUGGCAGGGUAUUAGGAAGCAGGCCACUGUACAUACUGUAAGUCCGGUUCAGAGGAAGGAGGUGCAUUGAGCAUGGCACAGAGAGAGGAUGGAGUGGAGCCCAAAAGAACAUCCAGCUACAGCGUCGUUCUGUUGCACCAGCCAGCAGAUGAAUGUUAAAUGUAGCUUAAACGUGUUUGAAAUGUUUACUGGACAAUCACUGCCUCAGAUUUCACAAAAUGUCUGCAAAUAUAUUUAAACUUUUUUACAUUUAAAUCCAAUCAAUUUAACUUAUUGAUGUUGUGUCAGUUAUGUGUUAUGUAUAAUUUAUAAUUAAUAUAAUUUAUAAUUAAA